AUCAGACCAGGCAACAUUCUUCCAGUCUUCAACUGUCCAAUUUUGGAUGUCACCUGCAUAGAGGAACUAUGACGUCGGUAACCGGGAGUUGCUGGUAGUCAAGGCUGCACUAGAGGAAUGGCGUCACUGGCUGGAGGGGGCUGAACACCCCUUCAUUGUUAGAACGGAUCACAAAACUCUAGAAUACAUCAGGACGGCAAAACGCCUCAACUCCCGUGAAGCCAGAUGGGCAUUGUUUUUGCAGGUUUUUCUUUUUCCAUAACCUUCAGGCCCGGUUCCAAGAACGGGAAACCCGAUGCCCUAUCCUGGGUUUACGACAAGGAGGAGUUUGUUUCCCGAAGACCUGACUCCAUCCCCAGCCAGUGCGUCAUCGGUACCAUCACCUGGAAGGUGGAGGAGGACAUAAGAGCAGCACUCAAGAACGACCCAGGCCCCGGUAACGUGCCUCCUAUAUGUUCACGACGCCCUCUGUCCUACAGUGUUGAAAUGGGCCCAUGCUUCCCACCUGACUUGCCACCCUGGCAUCGGCCGCACCAAAGCAUUUCUUAAUAGGAGGUUCUGGUGGCCGUCUGUCAAUACGGAUGUCAGGUUGUAUGUUACUGCUUGUCCCACCUGUGCUCUCAACAAAGGUUCCAACCAGCCCAGUUCCGGUCAACUACACCCCUUGCCUGUCCUGAAACGUCCUUGGUCCCACCUGUCCUUGGACUUGGUUACCGGAUUACCCCCUCUGAUGGUAACACUGUGAUAUUAACUGUUGUCGACCGGUUCACAAAAUAUGCCUACUACAUUCCUCUGCCCAAGCUCCUGUCUGCCAGAGAAAUGGCAGACCUUCUUGUCAGAGAGGUCUUUCAACGCCAUGUCAGAGAGGUCUUUCAACGCCACGGCCUGCCCUCAGAUGUGGUGUCCGACCAAGGUCCCAAAUUCACAUCCAAUGUGUGGAAGGAAUUCUGCCACGCCAUCGGGGCCUCUGUCAGCCUGUCUUCCGGCUACCACCCUCAGUCGAACGGCCAGGCAGAGAGGGCCAACCAGAAGAUGGAGUCGACCCUUCGCUGCCUGGCCUCCUCUGACCCCACUCACUGGUCCUCCCAUCUCCCCUGGGUCGCUUACGCCCACAACACACAGCUUCCCACAGCUGCCACAGGUAUGUCCCCAUUUCAGAAUCUAUAUGGUUACCAACUCCCCUUGUUCCCUGCUCAGGCCCGGGGGGUCUAGUUCCUCGUCAACUGGGAGGGUUAUGAGCCUGAAGAGAGGAGCUGGAUUCCCCGCGGUCAUAUCCUGGAUGCCUCCCUCGUCAGGAUUCUGACA
ensembl:lncRNA